UACAGAGACUGCAAGCGUUAUUCGGAUUCACUGGGCGUAAAGAGCGCGCAGGCGGUCGUUCAAGUCGCGUGUGAAAGCCCCCGGCUCAACUGGGGAGGGUCACGCGAUACUGAUCGACUCGAAGGCAGGAGAGGGUAGUGGAAUUCCCGGUGUAGUGGUGAAAUGCGUAGAUAUCGGGAGGAACACCAGUGGCGAAGGCGACUACCUGGCCUGUUUCUUGACGCUGAGGCGCGAAAGCUAGGGGAGCAAACGGG
rnacentral:rRNA from 1 species